rnacentral:rRNA from 1 species
AGUGAACGCUGGCGGUAGGCCUAACACAUGCAAGUCGAACGGCAGCACAGUAAGCGCUUGCUCUUACGGGUGGCGAGUGGCGGACGGGUGAGGAAUACAUCGGAAUCUACUUUUUCGUGGGGGAUAACGUAGGGAAACUUACGCUAAUACCGCAUACGACCUACGGGUGAAAGCAGGGGAUCUUCGGACCUUGCGCGAUUGAAUGAGCCGAUGUCGGAUUAGCUAGUUGGCGGGGUAAAGGCCCACCAAGGCGACGAUCCGUAGCUGGUCUGAGAGGAUGAUCAGCCACACUGGAACUGAGACACGGUCCAGACUCCUACGGGAGGCAGCAGUGGGGAAUAUUGGACAAUGGGCGCAAGCCUGAUCCAGCCAUACCGCGUGGGUGAAGAAGGCCUUCGGGUUGUAAAGCCCUGUUGUUGGGAAAGAAAAGCAGCAGGUUAAUACCCCGCUGUUCUGACGGUACCCAAAGAAUAAGCACCGGCUAACUUCGUG